CUACGGGGGGCAGCAGUGAGGAAUAUUGGACAAUGGUCGAAAGACUGAUCCAGCCAUGCCGCGUGCAGGAUGAAUGCCCUAUGGGUUGUAAACUGCUUUUAUACGGGAAGAACACCACCCACGUGUGGGUGACUGACGGUACCGUAAGAAUAAGGACCGGCUAACUCCGGGCCAGCAGCCGCGGUAAUACGGAGGGUCCAAGCGUUAUCCGGAAUCAUUGGGUUUAAAGGGUCCGUAGGCGGGCUAUUAAGUCAGAGGUGAAAGUUUGCAGCUCAACUGUAAAAUUGCCUUUGAUACUGGUAGUCUUGAGUUAUAGUGAAGUGGUUAGAAUAUGUGGUGUAGCGGUGAAAUGCAUAGAUAUCACAUAGAAUACCAAUUGCGAAGGCAGAUCACUAACUAUAUACUGACGCUGAUGGACGAAAGCGUGGGGAGCGAACGGGAUUAGAUACCCUCGUAGUC
rnacentral:rRNA from 1 species